rnacentral:rRNA from 1 species
UACGGGGGGGGCAAGCGUUGUUCGGAAUUACUGGGCGUAAAGGGCUCGUAGGUGGCCAACUAAGUCAGACGUGAAAUCCCUCGGCUUAACCGGGGAACUGCGUCUGAUACUGGAUGGCUUGAGUUCGGGAGAGGGAGUGCGGAAUUCCAGGUGUAGCGGUGAAAUGCGUAGAUAUCUGGAGGAACACCGGUGGCGAAGGCGGCAUCCUGGACCGGCAUUGACGCUGAUGAGCGAAAGCCAGGGGA